GACUUCGUAGUGUAGUGGUCAGCACACUGGGCGCAUAUUCCAGAAGUCCCUGGUUCAAUUCCCGGCGAAGGCG
rnacentral:tRNA from 1 species